rnacentral:rRNA from 1 species
AUUAAACGCUGGCGGCAUGCCUUAACACAUGCGAAGUCGAACGGCAGCACGGGGGCAACCCUGGUGGCGAGUGGCGAACGGGUGAGUAAAGCAUCGGAACGUGCCCUGGAGUGGGGGGAUAACGUAGCGAAAGUUACGCUAAUACCGCAUAUUCUGUGAGCAGGAAAGCAGGGGAUCGCAAGACCUUGCGCUCUGGGAGCGGCCGAUGUCGGAUUAGCUAGUUGGUGGGGUAAGGGCCUACCAAGGCGACGAUCCGUAGCGGGUCUGAGAGGAUGAUCUGCCACACUGGGACUGAGACACGGCCCAGACUCCUACGGGAGGCAGCAGUGGGGAAUUUUGGACAAUGGGCGAAAGCCUGAUCCAGCCAU